GACUCCUACGGGAGGCAGCAGUGGGGAAUAUUGGAGAAUGGGCGAAAGCCUGAUCCAGCCAUGCCGCGUGUGUGAAGAAGGUCUUCGGAUUGUAAAGCACUUUAAGUUGGGAGGAAGGGCAGUAAGCUAAUACCUUGCUGUUUUGACGUUACCAACAGAAUAAGCACCGGCUAACUUCGUGCCAGCAGCCGCGGUAAUACGA
rnacentral:rRNA from 1 species